GCCCUUAGAGUUUGAUCCUGGCUCAGAUUGAACGCUGGCGGUAUGCUUAACACAUGCAAGUCGAACGGAAACGAUGGGAGCUUGCUCCCAGGCGUCGAGUGGCGGACGGGUGAGUAACGCGUAGGAAUCUGCCCAGUAGUGGGGGACAACUCGGGGAAACCCGAGCUAAUACCGCAUAAUCCCUACGGGGAAAAGGAGGCCUCUUCUUGAAAGCUUUCGCUAUUGGAUGAGCCUGCGUGAGAUUAGCUAGUUGGUAGGGUAAAAGCCUACCAAGGCGACGAUCUCUAGCUGGUCUGAGAGGACGAUCAGCCACACUGGGACUGAGACACGGCCCAGACUCCUACGGGAGGCAGCAGUGGGGAAUAUUGGACAAUGGGGGCAACCCUGAUCCAGCAAUACCGCGUGUGUGAAGAAGGCCUUAGGGUUGUAAAGCACUUUCAGCAGUGAAGAAAAGCUCAAGGUUAAUACCCUUGAGUAUUGACGUUAACUGCACAAGAAGCACCGGCUAACUCCGUGCCAGCAGCCGCGGUAAUAAGGGCG
rnacentral:rRNA from 1 species